UAUAAAAUAAGGACUCGGCGCCGUGAUCUGUGGUGUCGAGACAUGUUACCGCAGCCACGUCAAGCGCUAAGUCAACGGCUAGGUCGGAAACCUCAGCGCCACGGCUCACGACGCCGAAAGAUGUUACCUCGGCGCCGAAAGGUGUUACCUCGGCGCCGACCCUAGGGUCCAGAUUGGGAAAUACAUCAUCUAGGAGUCCAAAUGUGAUUUUCUUAAAAAAAAAGGCCAAAAUGCAAAAAAGUACGGCUCUCCUGUUCAACUCCUCGUCUCUCUCUCUCUCUCCCCUUUCCCUCACGAAGAACAGGGCUGCGCCGUCGCUGCUAGGGUUUACUGGCACAAGCAGAUGCCGGUGGUCUGAACCGCCGAUCCCUCGGCGGCCUCCGGUAGCAGGCUGCGGGAGCCGAUUCCAAGCCACCGGCGAGUGGUAGCGGAUUCGCCGGAGCCUGGAUCCCUCCUCGGCAGCGGCUUCGCGAACGGCACCUCCGUCACCGCGUCGACGAACCCAGCGAGCUCCGCGAGCGCACUGGAGCAGAGCACGGGCCGCGCGGACGGUGGAGGACGGGGAGCAGGGCGCACCGGGCGGCGGGGAGGGCGUGGCGGCGUCGGAGAGAAGCAGCGCCUGGAGGUCCUUGAGGCGGCGGCGGCGAUAGAGCGCGUGGACCUCGAGUGAGACAGAGAGCUCGAGAGGAACGGGCGAGACGAAGACGAGAGGAACGCGAGGGGAUCCGUUCACUUGAAGGAAUAAGGCAGGGGCAGGACCGUUUUUCCAGUGGCCUAGUGAUUAAUAAGAAAAGGGAAAAGAGAG
rnacentral:lncRNA from 1 species